AUACCAAGAGUUAAUGUGUUUGGGAAGGUUUUUUUAAUAGCCUUUACCAGAUUGGGCUGUUUGGGAGAAAAAUAAAAGACCACGCUCCACAGUGGGCUAUACCACUUUGUAUAGUUCAUUACUAUUUUGUGGCCUACAUU
ensembl:snoRNA